AAGCAUAUCAAUAAGCGGAGGAAAAGAAACCAACAGGGAUUGCCCUAGUAACGGCGAGUGAAGCGGCAACAGCUCAAAUUUGAAAUCUGGCUCUUUCAGAGUCCGAGUUGUAAUUUGCAGAGGGCGCUUUGGCUUUGGCAGCGGUCCAAGUUCCUUGGAACAGGACGUCACAGAGGGUGAGAAUCCCGUACGUGGUCGCUAGCUAUUGCCGUGUAAAGCCCCUUCGACGAGUCGAGUUGUUUGGGAAUGCAGCUCUAAAUGGGAGGUAAAUUUCUUCUAAAGCUAAAUAUUGGCCAGAGACCGAUAGCGCACAAGUAGAGUGAUCGAAAGAUGAAAAGCACUUUGGAAAGAGAGUCAAACAGCACGUGAAAUUGUUGAAAGGGAAGCGCUUGCAGCCAGACUUGCUUGCAGUUGCUCAUCCGGGCUUUUGCCCGGUGCACUCUUCUGUAGGCAGGCCAGCAUCAGUUUGGGCGGUGGGAUAAAGGUCUCUGUCACGUACCUCUCUUCGGGGAGGCCUUAUAGGGGAGACGACAUACCACCAGCCUAGACUGAGGUCCGCGCAUCUGCUAGGAUGCUGGCGUAAUGGCUGUAAGCGGCCCGUCUUGAAACACGGACCAAGGAGUCUAACAUCUAUGCGAGUGUUUGGGUGUCAAGCCCGAGCGCGUAAUGAAAGUGAACGGAGGUGGGAACCCGCAAGGGUGCACCAUCGACCGAUCCUGAAGUUUACGGAAGGAUUUGAGUAAGAGCAUGGCUGUUGGGACCCGAAAGAUGGUGAACUAUGCUUGAAUAGGGUGAAGCCAGAGGAAACUCUGGUGGAGGCUCGCAGCGGUUCUGACGUGCAAAUCGAUCGUCAAAUUUGGGCAUAGGGGCGAAAGACUAAUCGAACUAUCUAGUAGCU
rnacentral:rRNA from 1 species